rnacentral:rRNA from 1 species
UACGUAGGGGGCAAGCGUUGUCCGGAAUUAUUGGGCGUAAAGAGCGCGUAGGCGGUCCGAUAAGUCGGCUGUGAAAGUCAGGGGCUCAACCCUUGAAAGCCGGCCGAUACUGUCGGACUAGAGUCCGGAAGAGGCGAGUGGAAUUCCAGGUGUAGCGGUGAAAUGCGUAGAUAUCUGGAGGAACACCGGUGGCGAAGGCGGCAUCCUGGACCAACACUGACGCUGAGUGAGCGAAAGCCAGGGGAGCAAACGGG